rnacentral:lncRNA from 1 species
UUUAAAAAUUAUGUUAAAGAAAAUAAUUUACAGUAUCAAAAUAUUGACUCAUCAUUGACAUUUCAGAGGCUAAAGUCAUCAAAGAGGAAGCUAAACCAGCUCCUGCAAAGAAAGAGGCUGAAGUCAUCAAAGAUGUUAAACCAGCCCCUAAGAAGAGAGAGGCUGAAGUAAUCAAGGAGAAAGUGAAACCGGCUCCUGUAAAGAAAGGUAUGAAUAUCAAUGAAAUCAUCCUGAAUAUGCUGUUGUUUUCCACUGUAUAA